rnacentral:rRNA from 1 species
CUACGUGCCAGCAGCCGCGGUAAUACGUAGGUGGCAAGCGUUGUCCGGAAUUAUUGGGCGUAAAGCGCGCGCAGGCGGAUCAGUCAGUCUGUCUUAAAAGUUCGGGGCUUAACCCCGUGAGGGGAUGGAAACUGCUGAUCUAGAGUAUCGGAGAGGAAAGUGGAAUUCCUAGUGUAGCGGUGAAAUGCGUAGAUAUUAGGAAGAACACCAGUGGCGAAGGCGACUUUCUGGACGAAAACUGACGCUGAGGCGCGAAAGCCAGGGGAGCGAACGGGAUUAGAUACCCCGGUAGUCCUGGCCGUAAACGAUGGGUACUAGGUGUAGGAGGUAUCGACCCCUUCUGUGCCGGAGUUAACGCAAUAAGUACCCCGCCUGGGGAGUACGGCCGCAAGGCUAAAACUCAAGGAAAUUGACGGGGGCCCGCACAAGCGGCGGAGCAUGCGGAUUAAUUCGAUGCAACGCGAAGAACCUUACCAAGGCUUGACAU